rnacentral:rRNA from 1 species
AUUGAACGCUGGCGGAAUGCUUUACACAUGCAAGUCGAGCGGCAGCGCGGGGCAACCUGGCGGCGAGCGGCGAACGGGUGAGUAAUACAUCGGAACGUACCCAGUUGUGGGGGAUAGCCCGGCGAAAGCCGGAUUAAUACCGCAUACGACCGUGAGGGUGAAAGGGGGGAUCGCAAGACCUCUCGCAGUUGGAGCGGCCGAUGGCGGAUUAGCUAGUUGGUAGGGUAAAGGCCUACCAAGGCGACGAUCCGUAGCUGGUCUGAGAGGACGACCAGCCACACUGGAACUGAGACACGGUCCAGACUCCUACGGGAGGCAGGCAGUGGGGGAAUUUUGGACGAAUGGGGGCAACCCUGAUCCAGCCAUUCCGCGUGAGUGAAGAAGG